GUUUCCCCUCCCUCAGCGGCCCCUCCCCCUCCCCCAAGCUCUACAGCAGCCUGACAGUCCAGGGUCCCUUGAGCCCAAGGAAGUUGGAAGGCUGCAGCACUGCAGAGAGCCCACUUGUGGAGAACUUCCUCAGCCUAGAUAAUAAUGUAGACAAUAACGGCUCAUCACUGGCAUAACUUGGGAUAACACCAAGUGGAUGAAAGUGUGAAAAGAAGGCUGGAUAAAGAAAUGUCUGGAAUGGAGCUUAGAAAACCACCGCAUCUCUGGAAUCACAAAUGCAGCUUGCAUGCCUAGGGCUGAGCACGUGCUGCAGGCUCUGGGUGAGUGAAAAAUGCCUGAGGUGGCUUUGGUACUCGCUUGACCCCAGGCUCUCAGAAAGCCGGAAGAGGAAGUUCCUGCAUCGCAGUAACCUGCUUGUUGGAGAGUUAAGAAUCAUCCCAGCAUUCAGACAGCACAGCCUUGCAAAGACUGCAAGAAUGUCUGCCCAGGGAGGGCUAAGGAAACUUCCAUCCAGCCAUGAGCAGUCUGCUAUGCUGAGCACAGACCCUGGGGCCACGCUUGCUGAGCAAGCAAAUCACAUCACCAACCCGGGGACCCGGAGCCUCUGCUGCUCAGCUGCUUGCUUGAGGCCCCCAUGUCACUGCAUGUGACAUUGAGCAAAUCUUCAUCAAUGUAUCCACUAGAGUGACUGCGGGGAGCACUGUUGUGAAGAUUCUGGAACAUUCACAUGUAAUUCUCAGGGACAUACAUCUUCAACAUCACAGGAAAUGCCCCACUGUUCCAAAGUGGUUGAAACAAUUAAGACUCCCACGGUGUGAGCUCUGUCUGGGCCACACCUUCAGCAACACCCUGCAUGGUCUAGCUUUUUUGCCAGCCUGGUGGUUGUAUGAUGGAUGAUGUCUCACACUGUGGCUAAUUUUCCUCUCCUCUGACUACCUGUGGUGUGUAUGUAUAUAUGUGCAUAUGCAUGCAGUGUGUGGUGGGUGUGUAUGUGUGUGGUGUAUGAGUAAGUAUAUGGCGUGUACAUAUAUGUGUGUGUCUAUGUGUUUAGCAGGCUUUCUUUUGGGUCACCAACCAGCUCCUAGUCAUGACAUGGAGACUUAUUAUUAAUUAUGAAUGCUCGGCUUUAUCUUAUGCUUGUCCCAAGCUCUUAUAACUUAUAUUAACCUGCUUCUCUUCAUGCCAUACACAAUAGGGACUCAUCCUGUGGGACAGUCCUGCUUCUGACACUGAAUUGUCAGGACUUCAUGCAAGCUCCCAAAGAGGGAGUAAGGAAGAGAGGGGACCAGUCAGGAAUCCUCGGAGGUCUGUCAUCAACAAGAGGCAAGAAGAGACUUGACCAAGGAUCUCUAGAUGAUACCCCAGAUGAGAGCUACAGGUCCAGCGUCGCUUGGAGCCCCACCACACCAGAAGAGGAAGGCAGGAGCCUGAGGCUCUGCAGGGAGUGCUACCUGUCUGCCAUACACCCCCUGCCUCUGAUGAUGGCAGUGAAUAGCCAGUGAGUGCCCUGUCCCACAGCACCUACAAAGGGUGAUUGCUCUAGAGUCACAGUAGCUGCAAGCAAGGGACACUUUCCACUCUCUAUCAGCCUAAGGCAGCAUUUACAGACUCGGAACCCACAAAGGACAGGGAGCCAGCAGCUGAUACUGAAGGGCUAUGAGGGCCCUGUUUUUGAUGAGGCAGCCUGCAUCCCCCCCUGAGGCAGCUGGAUGAGGCAGUGUUAAU
rnacentral:lncRNA from 1 species